GACUCAGCAUAUCAUAGCGGAGGAAAGAAACCAACAGGGAUUGCCCUAGUAACGGCGAGUGAAGCGGCAACAGCUCAAAUUUGAAAUCUGGCUCUUUCAGAGUCCGAGUUGUAAUUUGCAGAGGGCGCUUUGGCUUUGGCAGCGGUCCAAGUUCCUUGGAACAGGACGUCACAGAGGGUGAGAAUCCCGUACGUGGUCGCUAGCUAUUGCCGUGUAAAGCCCCUUCGACGAGUCGAGUUGUUUGGGAAUGCAGCUCUAAAUGGGAGGUAAAUUUCUUCUAAAGCUAAAUAUUGGCCAGAGACCGAUAGCGCACAAGUAGAGUGAUCGAAAGAUGAAAAGCACUUUGGAAAGAGAGUCAAACAGCACGUGAAAUUGUUGAAAGGGAAGCGCUUGCAGCCAGACUUGCUUGCAGUUGCUCAUCCGGGCUUUUGCCCGGUGCACUCUUCUGCAGGCAGGCCAGCAUCAGUUUGGGCGGUGGGAUAAAGGUCUCUGUCAUGUACCUCUCUUCGGGGAGGCCUUAUAGGGGAGGCGACAUACCACCAGCCUAGACUGAGGUCCGCGCAUCUGCUAGGAUGCUGGCGUAAUGGCUGUAAGCGGCCCGUCUUGAAACACGGACCAAGGAGUCUAACAUCUAUGCGAGUGUUUGGGUGUCAAGCCCGAGCGCGUAAUGAAAGUGAACGGAGGUGGGAACCCGCAAGGGUGCACCAUCGACCGAUCCUGAAGUUUACGGAAGGAUUUGAGUAAGAGCAUGGCUGUUGGGACCCGAAAGAUGGUGAACUAUGCUUGAAUAGGGUGAAGCCAGAGGAAACUCUGGUGGAGGCUCGCAGCGGUUCUGACGUGCAAAUCGAUCGUCAAAUUUGGGCAUAGGGCGAAAGACUAAUCGAU
rnacentral:rRNA from 1 species